rnacentral:rRNA from 1 species
GAUGAACGCUAGCUACAGGCUUAACACAUGCAAGUCGAGGGGUAGCAGGGUAGCAAUACCGCUGACGACCGGCGCACGGGUGAGUAACACGUAUCCAACCUUCCCAUAACUCGGGGAUAGCCUUUCGAAAGAAAGAUUAAUACCCGAUAGUACUUUAUUAAGGCAUCUUAAGAAAGUUAAAGAUUUAUUGGUUAUGGAUGGGGAUGCGUUCCAUUAGAUAGUUGGUGAGGUAACGGCUCACCAAGUCUUCGAUGGAUAGGGGUUCUGAGAGGAAGGUCCCCCACAUUGGUACUGAGACACGGACCAAACUCCUACGGGAGGCAGCAGUGAGGAAUAUUGGUCAAUGGGCGAGAGCCUGAACCAGCCAAGUAGCGUGAAGGAUGAAGGUCCUAUGGAUUGUAAACUUCUUUUAUAGUAGAAUAAAGUGAACCACGUGUGGUUUUUUGUAUGUAUACUAUGAAUAAGGAUCGGCUAACUCCGUGCCAGCCGCCGCAGUAA